rnacentral:ncRNA from 1 species
AUCUUAUUAAGAGUGGUGGAGGGACUGGCCCUUUGAAACCCGGCAACCUGACAAAAAUUUAUAUUAAUUUUUUCGUGGUGCUAAAUCCUGCAAGAGAUAUCUUGAAAAAUGAGAG